GAUGGACAAGCUUAUGAUAAAAAUUAUCAAAUAAAUAUUUUAUUAAUUAAUUUAUAUAUAAUUACAUCAAAUAGCACAACCAUCAACAGGCUGAUGAUUGAUUUUGGGACAUAUUUUUCAAUAUUAGUGGCAUGUAUAAUUAAUUCCUAAAUGCUCACUAUCAUAGUAUCAUCAUGAGGAUAGUGAUCGAUCUAGAUAGAUCGAUGCACAGAUCACUUUUUUUAGGAUAGAUGAGUCUCUGAUCUAUAGUGUAGAGAUACUGAGUGAUGAAUGUGAGUAGUUGUUAGAGAAUAACUAGUACUGAGCGUGACCAUACGAGAGAUCAUUUAAAUUUUUAAUCGAUUGUCAAUGAUUGUCUUGAUGCUGUAGUUGUGUGAAUGAUCUUUGAAUUUAUGAUGGUACGAUUGCUCACAGUAAGACUACUGGAGUUUGACUGAUAUAUAAAUAUGGUCUCAUUGAGAUCUUAUAUUGGAUGUUGGCAAUAGUUGAUUCACUGUAGGAGUAGGGUGCACAUCUAGACGGAAUCAAUCGACCUUGAUAGAGAAAAUAAUUUUAUGAGAUUUGAGAGACUAAGUCUGAGAGUGUGUGGCCACAACAGUAUAAUUGAUAGAAAAAAAUUUCUAUAAGGAUC
rnacentral:lncRNA from 1 species